CUUGUUUCUCGGGUGGCGAGCGGCGGACGGGUGAGUAAUGCCUGGGAAAUUGCCCUGAUGUGGGGGAUAACCAUUGGAAACGAUGGCUAAUACCGCAUGAUAGCUUCGGCUCAAAGAGGGGGACCUUCGGGCCUCUCGCGUCAGGAUAUGCCCAGGUGGGAUUAGCUAGUUGGUGAGGUAAUGGCUCACCAAGGCGACGAUCCCUAGCUGGUCUGAGAGGAUGAUCAGCCACACUGGAACUGAGACACGGUCCAGACUCCUACGGGAGGCAGCAGUGGGGAAUAUUGCACAAUGGGCGCAAGCCUGAUGCAGCCAUGCCGCGUGUGUGAAGAAGGCCUUCGGGUUGUAAAGCACUUUCAGUCGUGAGGAAGGUGGUAGUGUUAAUAGCACUAUCAUUUGACGUUAGCGACAGAAGAAGCACCGGCUAACUCCGUGCCAGCAGCCGCGGUAAUACGGAGGGUGCGAGCGUUAAUCGGAAUUACUGGGCGUAAAGCGCAUGCAGGUGGUUUGUUAAGUCAGAUGUGAAAGCCCGGGGCUCAACCUCGGAAUAGCAUUUGAAACUGGCAAGCUAGAGUACUGUAGAGGGGGGUAGAAUUUCAGGUGUAGCGGUGAAAUGCGUAGAGAUCUGAAGGAAUACCGGUGGCGAAGGCGGCCCCCUGGACAGAUACUGACACUCAGAUGCGAAAGCGUGGGGAGCAAACAGGAUUAGAUACCCUGGUAGUCCACGCCGUAAACGAUGUCUACUUGGAGGUUGUGGCCUUGAGCCGUGGCUUUCGGAGCUAACGCGUUAAGUAGACCGCCUGGGGAGUACGGUCGCAAGAUUAAAACUCAAAUGAAUUGACGGGGGCCCGCACAAGCGGUGGAGCAUGUGGUUUAAUUCGAUGCAACGCGAAGAACCUUACCUACUCUUGACAUCCAGAGAAUCCUGCGGAGACGCGGGAGUGCCUUCGGGAACUCUGAGACAGGUGCUGCAUGGCUGUCGUCAGCUCGUGUUGUGAAAUGUUGGGUUAAGUCCCGCAACGAGCGCAACCCUUAUCCUUGUUUGCCAGCGAG
rnacentral:rRNA from 1 species